rnacentral:misc_RNA from 1 species
GGGUGGUAAUAGGGAAUGAGAAUUUGCAUCCCUUUCUUCCAUGGACACAUCAGCUGAUACUGGGUCAGACGCAGACGUUGAAGAGGAGUCACGGAAAGGGGCCGGGCUUAACGGUGGAAGCGAAUCAAGUGAAAAAAAUGAAGGCUGAGAUGAAGAUCUUGAAUGGGUGGUAAUAGGGAAUGAGAAUUUGCAUCCCUUUCUUCCAUGGACACAUCAGCUGAUACUGGGUCAGACGCAGACGUUGAAGAGGAGUCACGGAAAGGGGCCGGGCUUAACGGUGGCAGCGAAUCAAGUGGAAAAAAUGAAGGCUGAGAUGAAGAUCUUGAAUGGGUGGGUCCUGGACUAAAGUUCUGAGAAACCAUUUGCUGGCUUGUUGGCCUAGAGAACGGGAUCUGAGAAUACGGCGAAAUGGGUGGGAUCUGAUUGGGGUGGGAAGGCGGUAUCCCUACUCUUUUGCCAUUAUCACUGCUAAAAUUCUGUGCAAAGUGAGCAAAAUGCCUGGCACGCAUUUGGGUCUGGUUCAAUUGAGGUAUAUCGAGUUGGUUCAUUGAUGAAAAAGGUUGUUUAGACAUUAAAGAAGAUGAUUGCGUAGUCUCAAAAGAAGAUUGAAGCCUUUGCAUCAUUUCACU